GCGAAGGCAGCUCACUAAACCAUUACUGACGCUCAUGGACGAAAGCGUGGGGAGCGAACAGGAUUAGAUACCCUGGUAGUCCACGCCGUAAACUAUGAUCACUAGAUGUUGGCGAUACAAUGUCAGCGUUUAAGAGAAAUCGAUAAGUGAUCCACCUGGGGAGUACGUUCGCAAGAAUGAAACUCAAAGGAAUUGACGGGGGCCCGCACAAGCGGAGGAGCAUGUGGUUUAAUUCGAUGAUACGCGAGGAACCUUACCAAGGCUUAAAUGUAAUAUGACCGGUUGAGAAAUCAACUUUUUUUCGAACAGAUUACAAGGUGCUGCAUGGUUGUCGUCAGCUCGUGCCGUGAGGUGUCGGGUCAAGUCCCAUAACGAGCGCAACCCCUAUUUUUAGUUACCAGCGAGUCAUGUCGAGAACUCUAGAAAAACUGCCUGGGCAACCAGUGAGGAAGGUGGGGAUGACGUCAAAUCAUCACGGCCCUUAUGUCUUGGGCUACACACGUGCUACAAUGGUUACUACAAUGUGCUGCCAUCUGGCGACAGAGAGCAAAUCAAUAAAGGUAAUCUCAGUUCGGAUCGGAGUCUGCAACUCGACUCUGUGAAGUUGGAUUCGCUAGUAAUCGUAUAUCAGCAAUGAUACGGUGAAUACGUUCCCGGGCCUUGUACACACCGCCCGUCAAGCCAUGGAAGUUUGGAGUGCCUGAAGUCAGUAACCGUAAGGAGCUGCCUAGGGUAAAACAGAUAACUAGGGCUAAGUCGUAACAAGGUAGCCGUA
rnacentral:rRNA from 1 species